rnacentral:misc_RNA from 1 species
GACCCUCCUCUGAUCUUCCUUCCCUCGCUCUGUCUCUCUCUCUCCCUCUAUCAUUCUUUAACACCUGGAUCUCUAGCUCUUACGAUUUGCAAAAAUGCCUCUCAGACUUGAAAUAAAGAGGAAACUUGCUCAAAGAUCAGAAAGAGUAAAAUCUGUGGAUCUACAUCCAACUGAACCAUGGAUUCUAGUGAGUUUGUAUUCAGGGACUGUUUGUAUUUGGAACUACCAGUCACAGACCAUGGCAAAAUCUUUUGAGGUCACUGAGUUACCAGUUAGGUCAGCAAAGUUUAUUGCACGAAAGCAAUGGGUUGUUGCUGGAGCUGAUGACAUGUUUAUUCGCGUAUACAACUACAAUACAAUGGAUAAGAUUAAAGUGUUUGAGGCGCAUACAGAUUACAUCAGAUGUGUGGCUGUCCAUCCUACCCUUCC